rnacentral:rRNA from 1 species
GUAGUAUUAGUUAUGAUCUUGAAAUUUAAAAAUUUUGGCGGUAUUUUAGUCUAUUCAGAGGAACCUGUUCUAUAAUUGAUAGUCCACGAUAAACUUUACUUUAUUUAUUAGUUUAUAUAUCGUCGUUAUUAAAUAUUUUAUAAGAAUUAUAAUAUUUAAUAUUUUUAAUUAAAAAAUAUAUCAGAUCAAGGUGUAGUUUAUAAUAAAGAAGAAAUGGGUUACAAUAAAUUUAUUUUUGGAUUUAUAUAUAAAAUUGUGUAAUGAAAUUGGAUUUGAUAGUAAUAAUUUUUAGGUUUAAUUUAUGAUUAUAGCUCUAAAAUGUGUACAUAUCGCCCGUCACUCUUAUUAUAAAAUAAGAUAAGUCGUAACAUAGUAGAUGUACCGGAAGGUGUAUCUAGAAUGU